rnacentral:rRNA from 1 species
UACGUAGGGUGCGAGCGUUGUCCGGAAUUAUUGGGCGUAAAGAGCUCGUAGGCGGUUCGUCGCGUCGGCCGUGAAAUCUCCACGCUUAACGUGGAGCGUGCGGUCGAUACGGGCAGACUUGAGUUCGGUAGGGGAGACUGGAAUUCCUGGUGUAGCGGUGAAAUGCGCAGAGUAUCAGGAGGAACACCCGGUGGCGAAGGCGGAUCUCUGGGCCUUACCUGACGCUCGAGGCACGAAAGCUAGGGAGCGAACAGG